rnacentral:tRNA from 2 species
GCAGUCGUGGCCGAGUGGUUGAGGCGAAGGACUAGAAAUCCAUUGGGGUCUCCCCGCACAGGUUCGAAUCCUGUCGACUGCG